rnacentral:lncRNA from 1 species
CAAUUUGUAAAAUUGCCCUCAACCACCCCCCAACAAGAAAGCAUCGGGCACAUCGCACUCGUACACGCACAGCCUUCGACGCGCUGAAAUCUCCAUCCAUGCACGCGCCAUGGCGCAAAUACACAAGGGGGCAUCCCCGGGUGACAUCCUACGCUUCCACAGUGAACGCGAAGUACCGUUGUCAUUUAAUGGGAACCACAUGCAUUUGAACAAUUGAAAUCAGGAGCGCCGUUAACAUCACAUAGAUCUCGCCCACUGUUUUGUGUUAUCGUACACGGCAUCAUACAUGCUCGCCUUGCACACAAACUUCUGCACGUGCCACAACAAGACCUGCAAUUCGGACGGCCGCCACCCCAUGCUUACCUCACAGAAUCUCUUGAAAACACCAUCUUUACUGCUGCGCGCCUGGACAGCUGCGAGCCAGGCAAGCGCGUGCCCUCCCGCUUAGACAGCACCCCACAAAGGAAAAGACGAUUUCGCAUCUUCCAUCUUCUGUUUCGGGGAGCCUUAGUAACCUUUACCACGGAAUGUAGUUUCC